rnacentral:lncRNA from 1 species
GGGCUACUAAUUAGCCUUGGGCAAGAUCCAGAAUGCAUUCACAGAGGAAGACUUAACUUGGACAUGGAAGAAUGGAGGUGAAUGGACAGGCCGGAGGUAGACCUGGAAAGUCUGGGAAGCCAGGGGAUUGAUAAAAACCAUGUGCUGUGUGGUGAGCACCUGCUUUGCUCUGGGCAUUCUGUCCAGCUGUCCAGUCUGUGAGAGAUGGUGACAUUUACAACUGUUACAAGACAACUGUCCGGGCUGUCUUCCACAAUGCAGCACAGGUCCAAGUGGCUACCAUCUGGCAGGGCAUCUGCUCAGCCACCAGGAGGGCUUCGGCUACAACAACAUGCCCAUGGAGAAGACAUUGCACUCUGAUCUUUUGAGGGAGGAGAACACCUUGUAUUUCCACCAUGCAAGAGAGACUUUCUUCACUUUUCCAAUGGGCUUCAAUUUUCAUCAAGGAACCUGAGAGAGUCCCUCUGUUGUUUUCUUCUGCUUUGUCUUCUGGAGCUCAGGACAAUGGACUUCAUGACACCCUCUGCCUCUGUGAUGUGGAUCCAGGUACCGGGGCAGCCAGGAGGCCAGAGGUGGGAAGAGAGGGUGCUGAGGUGGUGUGGCAGGUGCCCACUCCUUGCUUGAAGGCCUGGGGUGGGGGUGGGGCAGUGCCAAUGGUGGCACAUGUAGCUCAGCUCUACACAGCUCCUUAGUGCUUAAUUUUGGAAGUGACAUCUGAACAUAUCCUAGUCUAAAUUAUUGGACAUUCAAGAAAAUUUAACCAAAAUGGCAUAUUUUUGAAUUUUCA